CACCAUUGUUCUUACAUAAUAUAACCAUAUACAAUUUCAGCAGCACAUCUUAGAGUGAUUUACUGUGCCACAGUAAUGGUGCGUAGGUGAAAUCACUGGGGAAGCCAAGACAGGUGUAGGUCAUGACAGGAUUUUUAAAAAGCCAUAUUACAACCUGUGUGUUGUGAUAAUUGCAUGAUUUGCUCUAUAACCUGUUAGUUCAUAUGCCUUGACACAGUGAUAUAUAGGUCUGAGGCCGAGACAAUAAGAAGAUACAGUGAUAUAUAGGUCUGAGGCCGAGACAAUAAGAAGAUACAGUGAUAUAUAGGUCUGAGGCCGAGACAAUAAGAAGAUACAGUGAUAUAUAGGUCUGAGGCCGAGACAAUAAGAAGAUACAGUGAUAUAUAGGUCUGAGGCCGAGACAAUAAGAAGAUACAGUGAUAUAUAGGUCUGAGGCCGAGACAAUAAGAAGAUACAGUGAUAUAUAGGUCUGAGGCCGAGACAAUAAGAAGAUACAUUGAUAUAUAGGUCUGAACCGAGACAAUAAGAAGAUACAGUGAUAUAUAGGUCUGAGGC
ensembl:lncRNA